UUUAAGCUCCGUAUAUAAAGUAUUUACUUUUAUUAGAAUA
rnacentral:tRNA from 1 species